rnacentral:lncRNA from 1 species
GAACUAGAAAAUCGCACCAUAAAGAUAAGCCCGCACCAAAUUUGCAUCCCCCAGCUACUGUUUCGAUCAAUUUUCGAUAGAAUUUGCUAGAAUCGAGAAUGGUUGGACCUAUUUCGAUUACUCAUUGAUAGAUUUCGACGUUUCCCGAUAGAUGGUCACCAAAUUUUAUGGUAGAGCCAUGCUUUGGUGUAUUCCGAUGGUCGAUUCUGGCUAAUUUUUGGUGUAAUCUCAUUGGGAAAAUCGGGCUCCGCCUCUCUCUUUCUCUCUCUCUCUCUCAAACUCUCUCUUUUACGCUAUUUUUUCUUUCUAUCUCUCUCCGUUCUCAAUUUCUUUCUUAUGGGUGUGUUUGUGUUUUACUCUAUGUAUUGGAAAAAAAUGGAAGAUGAUCCAAAAUUAGAGUGUGUAAUCUGUGUUUAUUUUUUUGGUCCCUCCUCCCUUUUUGUUGUCCUCUCCUCUCUAUAUGCCCAUGUAUG